GGGAUUUGGCGGGAUGGAAAAAAACUGAGCUGUUCAAUCUGUCUGGAUCUUCUAAAGGAUCCGGUGACCAUCCCAUGUGGCCACAGCUACUGCUUGAGCUGUAUUAAAGACUGCUGGGAUGAGGAGAACAAGAACACGCACAGCUGCCCUCAGUGCAGGCAGAGCUUCACAUCGAGGCCUGUCCUGAUGAAAAAUACUGUGUUAGUGGAGGAACUGAAGGAAUUAGAACAUCAAGCUGCUUCAUCUGAUUGUUCCUAUGCGGGACCUGGUGACGUGGCCUGUGAUUUCUGCUCUGGUAGGAAGCUGAAAGCCUUCAAGUCCUGCCUGAAAAGCGCUCUACAAGUCCAGUCCAUGAGCAGUUACCUCUCCUGUGUGGCCCAGGGGGGGCCUCCCAUCCCUCGGUGAGGUGGACCGGGUUCCUCUCUGUGUCAGGUCGACGUUUUCACAGAUCCAAACCGAACAGCCUCAUUCAUGCACAACGGCUGUCCGUUUCCUGGUCCCCUUUUUACCUUCACGGAAAAAAAACUUGGAAGUAAUAAUGGAAGAGGCCACAAGAUGUCGCUAUUGGACCAGCAGACAACAAGCUGAGAGAUGAAAUCCAGGCCCAGUCCCAGUGUCCCCCCCUACAGCCUCAAACCCUGAACCCUCAAGGACUUACUGACGUCACCUGCUCUCGUUCUCCACCGCCUCCUGGGGAGAAAGUCUGUUUGUUGCUGGUCAGGUAGCAUACAGCGGGUUCACCACAGGGUUGUCUUUUACAUCAUUGUCCGGCUGCAGCUGGAAACUAGAUUGUGGAGUUUGUGGUUGGAAAACCAAAACAAUGAAAGAAACAGAAACACUACAGCGGUCUUUCUCCCUGCUCUAACUGUGUUGUUAAUGUGCAGGAGCAGAUUUACAGGUGUGCAGGCGGCCGUCUCUGUAAUUCAUUUUAAAUUACAUUUAUUUUCAGGAAAAUUCCAGGAAA